AUUUUAGUUCUAUAUCUUUUUCAUUUACUAGUCAACUCCACACGAAUUCAGUCGAAAAAGUCUCUAAAAAACUAUAAAUAAAAAAAAAAAACAAAAUAAAACAAAAAAAAAAUAAAACAAUUCUAUAUAACAAUGUCGGACGGUCAAGGUGAUAAAUUGGAAGUUAGAUGCUUUAAAAUUUUGGACGAGUAUCAAGAACGUGCCGAAUUAUUGGUCAACAAAAUGAACCAAUUGGAAGAUAAUUUAAAUAACUUUGUAUUAGAGCAUCUACAGAAUAUACGUGAACGUGGUGUGACCCAAGCUCGUUAUCUAAGAUCCAUGGAUAACAUAAAGACUAAUCCAAAAUCCUUAAAGUAAUAGAACAAAAAGGAUCUACACAUAAACAUAUACAUAUAUAUGUAUAACCAGCAGAUUUUUAGGCGUUUAUGAGUUAAAUUUUCAUUCCGUGCCCUCUCUCUCUCUAUCUCUCUUGCUCUCUCAUCCAUAAGCAAUUAAUGAGUUCAUAUUUCAAAUUCAUACUUACGAAUUGCCAAAAUAAUACGAAGACCCCACAAAAUAAAUGUGCCUAAAUUAAGGACUCGUCCACUUGGUGUUUCAAAAGGAGAAGCUUUACAUUUGGCUAAUCUGUGAAAAUUGUUUCCUAAUGAAGUAAAACAA